UACGGAGGGUGCAAGCGUUAAUCGGAAUUACUGGGCGUAAAGCGUGCGCAGGCGGUUUGUUAAGUCCGCUGUGAAAUCCCCGAGCUCAACUUGGGAAUUGCAGUGGAUACUGGCAAGCUGGAGUAUGGUAGAGGAAGGUGGAAUUCCCGGUGUAGCAGUGAAAUGCGUAGAGAUCGGGAGGAACACCCGUGGCGAAGGCGGCCAACUGGGCCGGACCUGACGCUGAGGCGCGAAGGCGUGGGGAGCGAACGGG
rnacentral:rRNA from 1 species